GAUGAACGCUAGCUACAGGCUUAACACAUGCAAGUCGCGGGACCGGCGCACGGGUGAGUAACGCGUAUCCAACCUGCACUUCACCACGGGAUAACCCGGCGAAAGUCGGACUAAUACCGUAUGGUGUAGGAUGGGGAUGCGUCCGAUUGGCUUGACGGCGGGGUAACGGCCGACCGUGGCUACGAUCGGUAGGGGUUCUGAGAGGAAGGUCCCCCACACUGGAACUGGGACACGGUCCAGACGCCUACGGGAGGCAGCAGUGAGGAAUAUUGGUCAAUGGGCGUAAGCCUGAACCAGCCAAGUAUCGUGCAGGACGACGGCCUAUGGGUUGUAAACUGCUUUUAUGCGGGGAUAGGUACCGCAUGAAUAAGGACCGGCUAAUUCCGUGCCAGCAACCGCGGUAAUAC
rnacentral:rRNA from 1 species